GCCGCCGCCGCCGCCUACGUCCCGUAAACUUUCCCCGCGGCCGCUGGGAAUUCUGGGAAACCCGACGCUGCGCGGCCGCCGCGGCCGCCCCGCCCCCACUCUGGCUGGGGCGCGGCUCGGGCUGCGGGACGUCCGCCUGCUCGGAGCUAACGGGUUCCCCGACGGCCGCGGCCGCCUUCGCGACUCCUCAGCGAGGCAGGUCCCGAGGCCGGGAAAGGAGGAGGACGCCGCCGCCCAGGCUGAGCGCGGAGGUCGCGAGCUCAUGCCGCGGAGCCCCGUCUUCCCACGGAUUUUUCCCUCAGGACUUUGAGGGAGCUGGUGACGCCCCCACCCCCACCCCCCCUUCUCCAGAACGCGCCCCCGUCAUCAUCCUGGAGUGCAGACGCCCUUUCGGAGUUUCUUGAUACUGCAACAAAAGAGCCAACUCAUCUCAUGGGGAAGUCUGCCAGGCAAUGGGCCCUGAUCCUUCACACAGACUCCCUCCUUUUCCUGCUGAGUCACUCGGAGAUCGGAUUUAAUCCGGGACAUCUGCAGGUUUACAUUCUGUAGUGUGUCCUCUAAACUCU